AAAAAAAAAAAAAAAGGUGAACAGAAAAGUUUCGCCAGUUACAUUUGUGCCACCAAACUUUUUUUAACUUUCUUUGCUUUCCUACAUUUGCCACCGGUAGACUUAAAACUUAGUUAUCCUUAUCUUCUAAUUUUGCCACCGCCCCUCUUCACCAUCUUUCCUCACCAAUCAGAUGCAAAAAAAAAAAAAAAAAAAAACCCUUCUCUAUCCUUCUUCUACCUUCCUUCCAAUUUUCCUUCUUCUACCUUCCUUCUAAUUUAGGGGGGGUUUUGGAUAGGAAAAAAAUAGGUGUUUAUUGCUUAUUCCCACAAUAAACUAAUUUGAGUGUUUGGAUCAAAUUCAGCUUAUUAGGUUAAAUAAGCUAAUUUUAAUAAGCAUUCAUUCUCAUGCUUAUUGCUUAUUGCUUGCCACAAAUAAGCUAUAAGCUAAAAAUCUAAUCCAAACACCCCGUAUUUCUCCGUCUUUCUUUUCUCCAUUUGGACCUCCACCUUCCCGGUGAUAGUGGUCUGCGAAACCCAACCUCCCAAAAACCCUUUUUCCUUUCACUUACUGUAAUCGACUGGGAGUUUGUUUCAUCCGCUUGACGCGUUCGACUGGGAAAUCAAAAACACAUACCGGUGCUGAUGAUGGUGGUGGUGCGAUCGCGGUUGUUUCCGGUGGCGGUCCCGAUAGAUUAGAACAGAACUACAGGAGAGCAAAAGAAGGAUCCGGGAUUAAUCGAAGAAAGUGAUUCAAUUUACAUGAAAAAGGUAAAGAUAUUUAUCAGCGAAAAUAUCAUAAAAUCAAUCAAUCAAUCUUCGAAUUAAACAGAACCCUAGUCGAAAUUGAUAGAAUUUAGCAGCAACAGAUUCGAAUUUUAGCAACCCUAGUGAUUUGUUUUCUGAUGAUAUCAAUCGGAAUAUGAACGACGUCGUAUAUGUGGUGAGUUGGAGAAGAACUGAGGAAAUGUCGUCGGCAAGCAUGGAUGCGCUGCUUUGGACUCUCGGCAACAAUCUUAAUGACGAGUCCACGUUUCCUUCUUACUCCUCACUACCUAUCCAGCGAUGUAAAGCCAAUGGAAACAGGAUAAGAAGAAAACGGGAGCAAUGGAGCAGAGAUCAAAACAUUGAAAGGAAGUGCGUUUUCUUUUAUCUUUUAGCAGCAGAAGAUGAUUCACUCUUCUGUACCACUUCCUGUCGAUGCUUUUAUUGACAGAUUAGAUGAUUUUUCUUUGGAUUACUGCUCACGCUACAGUUCAUCAUUUAUAUCAUCUCCUGAUAUUUUGCUCGACUGCCUAGAGAGAUACAUGUAUGUUGACAAGGUAUGUCAGGGGAUCGUGGCAAGGCGAAGGCAUGAUCGUACAGCUCCUCAUGAUUUGUUUUUGUUUCUAGGAAAACUCUGAUAUUAGAUAUUUUGAAAACAAGCUUUGUACUGAUGCAUGGUUUUAAAUGUUUUGAAAAAGUUUUAAUUUGGCAUGAAAUUUUUGGGUGUUACAACCCUCUACAACAUAAGCACUAAAUCUAACUGUCAUGUGAACAUUACGUCCAGAUCUAGCGACCCUAGUUGACAAACUAUCAGAAUGAUUAGAAUUAAUUGAAUCAUUUUCCUCAGUCAGUGUAGAGGAACUUGGAAACAUCUCAUCAGAAGGAGGCACAUAUGCCUCACUAGUCCAGUAGCUGACAUUAGAGGGACAAGUCUCAUCCAGGUCAUGGUCUGCAUUAGCUCCAUCCACAUGAUGUUCACUUCUCAAGUUAUCUAACCUAGUGUUAUCUAGAAUAAAACUAGAAUCUAAUGACUCGUCAUAGGAAAAUAGGUCAUUUGAAUUCACAAUAACAACUGAUCAAUCAGCCAAAGAUGAAGAUUUAAGCUUGAAAGGAAACACUAACUCAUAAAAUUUUACAUCCCUAGAAACAAAAAUAAAAUUGGAAUCAAGACUAAGAACUAUAUAAAUCUUUUUAUUAGAAGAAUAACCAAGAAAAAUGCAUUUAUCAGCUUUUUAGAAAAUUUAUCAGAAUUAGUCAACUUAGUGGCAAAACACAAACAUCCAAACACUCUAAGUUUAUCAAAAACAGGUAUAUUAUUAUAAACAAGUUCAUAGGGAGAAAAACCAUUUAAGACAUAAAUGGGUGUUCUAUUAAUCAGGAAAACUGAAGUUAAAAUUGCAUCUCCCCAGUACUUGAUUGGUAUACCAGAUUGAAACAUUAAAGACCUAGCAACAUUUAAAAUAUGUCUAGGUUUCCUCUCCACAACUCCAUUUUGUUGUGGAGUAUGAACACAAGAUGUUUGAUGUAAAAUUCCUUUUUGAUUCAAUCAAUUGUCUCAUUCUAUUGUUUAAAAAUUCAAUACCAUUCAGAUCUAACAACCUUGAUUUUAACACAAAACCGAUUGAGCAAAAUAUUAAAGAAAAUAAGAACACAAUCAUAAACUUCAUCUUUAGACUUUAACAGAUAAACCCAAGUUGCCCUAGUAAAGUCAUCCACAAUAGUCGAAAAAUAUCUAAAUCCUUCUAUAGUUGUCACUCUCUAGGGGCCCCAGACAUGUAAAUGAACUAACUCACCAAUUUUAGAAGUAGUAUGUUGACUAACAGGAAAGGGUUCUCUAGUUUGUUUAGCUUUAUGACAAAUAUCACAUGGUGGAAAAGCUUCAUUUCCAAUUUUAAGUUUGUGUUUUAAGGAACUCAAGGCUUAAUCAGAAGGAUGACCAAGUCUAUUGUGCCAAGUUAGUUUAGACACACAAAAAACAGAAGAAGAAAUAGAAGAACUAGAUAGAUUACCUGAAGGUACACUAUUUAUGUAAUAGAGACCUCCAGACUCUCUACUAUUCCCCACCAUUACCUUUGACUGUAAUUCCCUGUUGGCCUUCAGUCUAUCCGGACCGCCCUAAGUCUGUUGAGCAUCACUAUGGAUACAUCCUGGUGCCCUCUACCAUAUAGCCAUUUCUCCCCACUUGGGGUUUCAAACUCCUGAUCUAAUCCAUAAACUAUAAUCUCGACCUAACUCCAGACCUCGUGUUGAUCGCCCACCCUCUCGGGAAAACUGUGGUAUGAUCCCUGACCCGCGUAUCCACCACAUAUGCUAAAUAACCCGCACACCCGUGCUGAAAGUACUACCACCCUGGUAGCUAAACAAAACCCUCAAUGGCUGAUGCUUCAUCUGAGAAUUCCCAAUAUUCCCCCACUUGGGACACUAACCACUACCUACUAGUGGCGAAACCAAAACACCACUUAACCAUCCCUACUAGGUAUUACCAUACUUAACCACAUAAUGAUUAACCUUGGAAUGAAUAACCCACGCAAAACAAAUCCUCCUAGAACGGAGCAACCGAACUUCAAGAGAAACCUGAAUCCUAGCUGGAUGCUUCUGAAACUCCAAACCAUAACUACUGACCCUGGAAUCGUGAUUCUCUAUCCGUACUUCUCAUCCUCAAUGCAUCGCUGGAUCCUAACCAUCUAUAACCCCUUCAAUACUAAAUUCCCCUGAUCCUCCUAUAUCCUAACAUCUUAUGUAGAAGGUAAUGGAAAGUUCACAAUAUAAUCAUAAACAGUAACAUAAAAGGUAGAAACAUACCAGAAAUCGCAUUUGGUGCUGUCCUGGCCUCCUUUGUUGCAAGCUAGAAAGCACAUCUUUGAGCCCUCGGAGGCUCUUCUAUACCCUGACCCCCGUCAGUAAUCCUCGGUGUAGCCGGCGCUGGAGCCUACACCGUCCUGGUAGCGAGCUAUGGACAGUUAGUCUUCACGUGACCAACCUGAUGCCUGAUGCCUGAUGGCAGUGGUAGCAAAUCCUCGUAUCCUGAACCAGGGCUGUCUGGCAGCAAUCCCUCACAAAGUGCCCCUCCUUUCCGCACUUGCGGUACGCACUACCAGAUCUACAAACCCCGAGUGACCCUUCCCGCACUUGCCACAUGUGCGGCCCUGCUGUCCUCCGGUCCUGGAAUCAGCAGUCUUAGAUCGCUUUAGCGCCGACUGUGACUGCUUCGGGGUCUGCCUCUGCCUCCAUAACUGUAACUUGAUCUCAAGCUCAUGCUGCGUAGCGGCCUCUUGUAACUCCAGCAGUGUAUAACAACGCUGGGUAGCAACAAACUGACGGAUGUCAGUCUUGAGCAUGCUCAUAUAAUGUGUCAUCUGAGCCUGCUCGGAAGCAAACUCUGGGCUGAACAUCGCCCUCUCUAUGAACAUAUGGGUGAUCUCCAUCACCGUCACACCAUCCUGUCUCAACUCCAAGAAGUCCUAAGCUAACCACUCCCGCUCGACCCGCGGAAUGUAGCGAGCGCGGAACAUAUCCCUAAACUGCUCCCAAGUAACCACAACUCUCUAAUCAUCAGUGUAAGACCCGGUCAUCAAGCUCCACCAGUCCUUUUCCCCGGACCUCAUCAGGUUCAGGGCACAUCUGACCUUUUGGUCAACAGGACAUACGAACGUGAAGAAACAUCCCUCCACAUCGGAUAUCCACCUCAUGGCUACAAUCGGGUCCUAUUUCCCAUCGAAAGUCGGGGGCUUCGUGUUAUCGAAGUCCCGGUACUAAAAAGCCUUACUAGCUCCUCCCCAUGUCGCCGUUACAGCUACUGAAGCAGUUACGGUAGCCGUCUCAGCAAUGGCUGCAUAGCGCUCGUCAAAGAACUCAAGCAUGGCGGUCUUGAUAGAACCAAACAUCUCCAGUAACUAUGCCCGGAACAGAGUAGCAACCUCAUCAUGCAGGAUCUCUCAAAUCCUGGCAUCCAACUCAUCCGACCUUAUCUGACCAAUUUCCUUGGGCACUGCUGGUCCUUCUUGAUCGCCAUCUCCUGAUCCUGAUCUGGAUCCAGUCACAAAUCAUCUAACCACCAUGCUGAAAAUACACCAAGAAGAUUUCAGACAUUCCAUAUAAUAAUUCGAGAACCAACUCCCAACAAAUUCGUACGGGUUGUGACUUCUUUGUUACGCGUACGGGUCAUGUGCUUUCAGUAGUACGAGCCCAUACUACCUUCCACACUUACUCAUAUUUGUCUCAAGUGUCAUCACAACGCCCUAACAAUAUACAUAAACAUGGCGAGCGCUCCACCAUCACUUCUAGAGGAAUGCUAAAUAUCUCAUAACUAGUCUACUGACCCCGCACAACCUACCCAUGAAACUUCCCCCAACCCUGCACACUUGUGUAUGCUAGCUAUACAUAACGCUGGACCCUAUAGACUUUCGAAUACCUGAUCCUACCCUAAGCCCUUUAUCAGACAAGAACAGAAAAUAAGGCCAAACCACACAUUCUCAGGUUAUAAGAUCUUAAUUAUGUACAGCCGUGAUGCAUACACUAAGCAACUAUAGUAAUUAUGUCAAUUUCAUAUAAGGAAAAACCCUAGGCUAUCAAGAAUCAUAUAAUCAGGCAAUUCCUGAAAAUCCCUAGCCUAGUACUAGCAUGUUGUUCUAACAUAUCGCAAAAAUCAAAUAAUCCAUAAGGUAUUUUGGUGUCUACUUACUGGCUCUGGCUGAUCGUACACUUGCAUCCUCCUUUAGUAUUUUGACAACCAUUUGAAAAAUCAUUUUAUAAUCUUGUCCUUAGUUUGAGACUGGAGACACACGAGUGUUUCCUCUAAUUCACUCAAACCAAGGCUCUGAUACCAACUUGUAACACCCAUAAAAAUCAUGCCAAAUUAAAACAUUUUAAAUCAUUCAAAAACCACUAAUUAUUACAAAUUUGUUUUCAAAAUGGUUUCAUAUCAUAGUAUCCCAUAAUCAAAUCAUAAAAACAUAAGGAGGUGCACGAUCACGCUUUCGCCUUCCCUCGAUCAUCAGAAGUAUCUGCAAACAACAUGUAUGUUUGGCCCAAUCAACAUAUCACGUAACCACUUGUACCAGGCCUAAUCAGCCUCGGGCUGGAAUACUAGGCACGCCUAUAACGGGUCCAGUCAUCCCUAGGAUGGUAUAACCUCGCAUCCUCAUGUAUGUUUGGCCCAAUCAACCCUCGGGUAACUGCUCGUACCAAGGCCAAUCAGUCUCGGGCUGGAAUACCAGGCACGCCUAUAACGGGUCCAAUCAUCCCUAGGAUGGUAUACCCUCGUAUCCUCAUGUAUGUUUGGCCCAAUCAACCCUCGGGUUGGAAUAUACCAAACACACGAGGUCCAAUCAAUCAUAGGGUCCGAUCAUCCUCAUGAUGGAAUACCCUAGAUUGGAAUACCUCCACAUACAUAACUCAAACCUACAACCAUGCUCGGGACCGAGGACCUUGUCCUUGCGUCACCCUCGAACCCUUUAGUUCGACACAACUGAGUGUAACCCACUCACACCUCCUCAUCAUGAUUUCAAGGUCCUCGACCUCUGACUGUAAUAUCCUUAUACAGUCUUCAGCACUGGUCCAGACUACUCCUGAGUCUGUUAACAUGCUAUCUCACUUUCCUCUGUCGAAAUCUCCAAUCUGGAACCACUAUCCUCCUCCUCUUCCAAGGAGACUGAAAACAUGCCUGCAUAUCAUCCAACAUUGCCACGACGACAAAACCUCGCUAUACAUCACCCCUUGGUGGCGCACACCGCUAACUCAGAACAUGCAUACUGAUCGCAUGGCUAGCAACCCAUACAUAGCCUGCUGAAUUUCCUUGACAUCUCCACCAUUCGGGGACAACCCCACUAGCCGCUAUCACAUAACAACAUCCUCUCUACUGGUUUAAAGAUCCACGACACAUUCAAAGCCCUUACUAUAACCGAACCGCCUCAUCGCACCACUCCAAUAACCAACAUUCAAAUCACAUCAGGCAACAUUCUACAACCAACGGCUCAUCCAAUAACCAACAUUCAAACCAACGCCAUACAAUCGUAAUCAUAUCAUAUAAACAAACAACAUGUAUAAUGAGCCAUCAGCCUGACUGGACUGUCUGCACCGGGUCUACAGUCUAUAUGGACCGCUCUCCGAUCCUUCGGCAUGUCUGGACCAUCUCUCAGGGCCUUUAGCCUAUCCAGACCGCUCGUCGGGCAUUCGGCCUGACUAGUAUGCCCUUUUGGGUUUGUAGUCUAUCCGGUCCGCCAAGCAGGUCCACCUCAACCCAACCACAAUCAAACAAGCAUGUGCACAUAAAUAUCAUACGUUAGCAUGUAUAGUACAGUCAAACUAAUCUAACAGAUCAAUAAUCAUAGCAACAUCCUAUAACCAGGAUAUCGACCUAAUCGGUCACUAACAUAGCAUUAUCCUAUUCCUAUAUACCAGGAUACCGACCUAACCGGUCUCUAACAUAAGAUUAUCCUAUAUACCAGGAUACCGGCCUAACCAGGUCACUAAGCAUAUCACCAUCCUGACUACCAAGAUGUAAAUCAAUUAGCAUAUCAUUCAAUAAACCCAGAUACAAAUCUGAAAACGUUCGCCAUUGAUGCCUUCGACCCACCUCACAAGUAGCUCGGAGUGAUAAUGUCAAACCCCUCCAAAUACAGCUCCAACUCCAACACCUACAUCCACCAAUGAUCCACUUCCAUUAAUUCCCAAAUUACUAAAAUACCCCCAUAAGUCAAACUGGUCAACACUUGGUCAAAGUCAAAGUUAACGGUCAAGGUCAACAUUCCAUGUUGACCUAACUCGUUGAGUGCAGCUCACUGACUCAUCGAGUCCUUCUAGACCUCGAGAAAUCUUGAAAACCCUAGUUGACUCGCCGAGUUUCCAGACAACUUCUCGAGUCCAUGCGUGUCCAAAUGUCGGGAAAACACUAACUGACUCAUCGAUUCGUCUCACUGACUCGCCAAGUCUAUGUAGAAACCGACCACGACCAAUUUUCAUCUGACUCGUUGAGUUGACCAUGCAACUCGUCGAGUCCCUUCAGUUCAUUUCUCAUUUAGACGAUUUUAAGCUACCCCAAAGCUCCAAAUUGCAGAUCUAACCUCGUAGGGCAUGGUUUCCACGUAAAGUUGCAAACUUUACGUACAUGCAUGGUCCUAAAUGCCGAAACCAAGCUAAGGGAAAGGUUUAACCUAAAGAGAAAGGCCAAAGCUUGCUAAAUCUGAUAACUUUAUGACUGUACAGAUUUAGAGGAGUCCAGAUCUGAAGUUACAACUUCAAAUCAUGCCCAAUACUCGAAAUAACCUACAACCAUCUAGAAAAUGGCCCUAAACCUUUACAUGAAGAGAUCUAGCUAAAGAUAAGUCAAGGUAACUGUAACGACCAAAAAUUUCAGCCAAUUUAAAACAUUUUAUUUCAUUCAAAAACCAUUACAUUCAUACGCCUUCGCCUUGCCACGAUCUCCUGAAGCACCUGAAACAAUAAACCACAACUGUAAGCCCGAAAUCUUAGUGAGUUCCCCCAAAGUACCCAUACACACAUAAACAUACGCAUACAGCAAAGAACAACAUACUAUGGGUCCAAUCAACCUUCCGGCACAGACACAAUCAGCAGCCAAGCAGGCAAAGCCUGCUGAUUCGAGAUCUAGGGGUCCGAAGGGCAGCACUUGUGGGAAGUGCGGCAAGAACCAUGAGGGAGUGUGCAGAGCUGGGGUGUGUUACAAGUGUGGGAAGGAGGGGCACUGUGCGAGGUAUUGUCCCCAGGGAUUCACGGUUUGCUUACAUUGCAACCAGACCAUCCAUCAGAAGGCCGAGUGCCCACAGCUGCAAUAGGGAUCGACACAGGGAUCUGCACCUGCUGCCCAAGCUACUAAGGUUCGACUGGUGAAGGCCGAGGCACCAAAGGCUCGCGGGAGUGCCAUCCAGUUGACAGUGGAGGAGGUCCGCGUAGCGCCCGAUGCCGUAGCUGGUGCGAGUCGGUUAUUUGUGUCUUUAGCGUUUAGUCAGCACAUCAGUACACAGCAGGAGGCGUUGAGUCGACCUCUACGAGUUUCUAUAGUUGACGAGCAAGCGGUGUAUGCCACUAAUGUGAUUCGAGGAUGUGUACUCGAGAUUUUUGACGUUGAGUUUCCGAUUUAUUUGGUCCCGAUUGCGAUGGGAGAUGUCUGUGUCAUCCUGGGCAUGGACUGGUUGAGCAGUUUUGGACCGUUUAUCGACUGCGAGCGACAGCUGGUGACCAUACAAGACCCUAGUGGGGGAGUUCUUACGGUUUAUGGCGAGGGUACCCGUUCUAGGUCAGCAUUUUGUUCGGUUGCCAGAGCGAGGCAGAGUUUACAGCAGGGUUGUAGUGGGUUUGUAGCCAAUCACUACUAGAAAAUAGCCCUUUAAUGACGCGCAAACAAUGACACUCGCUGAUAGAGGACGCACAUUUGUCCGUACCCUAAAAAAUAAUGUCAGUUUUGAAAAUUUUGAAGGAUAGAGGGCAUACAUUUGUGCGUGCCCUAAAAUUAGUGUCCAACAAAAAAAAUUAAAAACACGGAGGGCACCUAUCAUAAAAAAGCGCGUCAUCUAAAACUGUCGCUUUAUAUUUUUCUUUAGGAAGGCGCGUUCUCUUAGGGGGAAAUGAAAUACCAAAAAAUUAAACAGCCCGCCUCCGAUGCAUCUGCUUCUUCUUCUAAAAUCCUCUACCAAAAAGCCCUAAUAAUCCUUUAAGCAGUUCGUCUCUCUCUCUCUCUCUCUCUCUCUCUCUCUCUCUCUCUGUGUGUGUAAGCCCUAAUCCGCCAUCACCAGCAUCGAACCUCAUAAUCUUUAAAAGUUCAAAGUGCCUAAGCAAACACUUCCGCCAUCUCAAGAUGUCGGUUCAGGAUCGGAACGUCACAUCGCAGUACACGAUGACAUCAUCAUCUCCACAAACCACCGUCAACGGUGGAGAAAACGAAUGCAACUGGGUUCUUUUCUAUUACUUCCAAAUCUAAUCCAGACAACAAGCAUUUGAUGCUGCCCAACUCGGCUAACUGAAAAGUUAUUCGAAAGUUUCACUAACUCAUUUCUCAAAUUUGCAUUGUACGAUCAAAGCUAGGGCUCUUUGCUAAUAUCAAAUGAUCACUUCUUCUUGAAUUUCCCUCAAAUUUGUUGUUUUAAGCUUGUGAUUCAAAUUUGCAUUGUACGAUCAAAGUUAUUCCCAAAUUUCUCCUUGUGAUCCCCUGCUCUUGAAUUGUUCUUGUUUUCAGAGCACUUGCAAAUCUUACAUUCAUCAACCUUCCAAAUCUAUCCGACAAUAUCAUAUGCUUUUAGGGAAAAUAUGGAUCUGAGCAGACACGAUUUCUCUUAAAAUUUGUGUUUAGUUUUUGCAAUUGAUGAUUCGGACACUACGUUUUGUUGCUUG